GGAACAGGUAUGGUUACUGCUCCUGCUGACGGUUAAAGUGCUUCCAGUGACUGCUCAGUUCAAUGGAUACAACUGUGAUGCUAACCUCCAUAGCCGGUUUCCUGCUGAACGAGAUAUCAAUGUUUUCUGUGGAGUACAGACAAUUACUAUGAAGAUAAAUUUUUGCACAGUUCUUUUCUCUGGUUAUUCUGAGACGGAUCUGGCACUGAAUGGGAAGCAUGGGGAUGCUCACUGCAGGGGUUUCAUCAAUAACAACACCUUUCCAGCAGUGGUCAUUUUCAUCAUCAAUCUGAGUACUUUGGAAUCCUGUGGAAACACUUUAGUGAAUCUGAUCCAGGAGCUGACCUUGAAGUCUGUUUUGUCCCAGUAUAAUUUAAUUUUCUU